rnacentral:pre_miRNA from 1 species
AGCCUUCUAUAUCCGUGCUGAGAUUUCAUUACACACCAGACCACAAGGGCUGAUGAGACCCCCAAAAUAAGUGAAGCU